rnacentral:rRNA from 1 species
UACGAAGGGGGCGAGCGUUGUUCGGAGUUACUGGGCGUAAAGGGCGCGUAGGCGGCGCUCCAAGUUAGGCGUGAAAGCCCCGGGCUCAACCUGGGAAUAGCGCUUAAGACUGGGGUGCUCGAGUGCGGGAGAGGUGAGUGGAAUUCCCAGUGUAGAGGUGAAAUUCGUAGAUAUUGGGAAGAACACCAGUGGCGAAGGCGGCUCACUGGCCCGCAACUGACGCUGAGGCGCGAAAGCGUGGGGAGCAAACAGG